ensembl:lncRNA
GUAAACACAUCUCGCCAUUGCUUACCAUAAUAAUUUCCUGAACAAAUGGCCAUUUUCCACUGCAUGGUACCGGCUCAACUACCCGUCUAUAGCUUCGACUUUAAUGCUUCAUGGGGGACAGUCCUUUACUCUAUUUAAACCCCGGCAUGUCCGUAGAUGGCGCUAUAGCGAAUUGCACAUGUGUAAAGCAAGAUGGAUCCCACGUUGUUGUACCGUGAAAACUAGAAGUAACAUACAUUUUAUCGACUUGGUUCUCUCGUCAACUCUUGUUCAAAGUUCAUAAGGUAUAAGCUAUAUGCUCUGAAUUCGACAAUACAACAUGUGGAUUAUCACAAAGUCUAAGCAGAGAUGCCCACUUCUGGCCACACUUCUGGCCACACUGUAAAUGUAACAAUCUGCUGCUAUCUUUGUAUUUGCUGAUCGUUUUACCUUUACUGAUUAUUGUUUUUGUGUUUAAACUAAACAGACUUUUUACAUUUUUAUUUUUGCGUUUUACCAAAACUGAUCUUUAUUUUUGUGUUGCCUGUCUGUGAUCAUUUUAACCGAAUUUUAUUUUUGUAUAUUCUGUGCACUGACAAAGGUAUAAAACUUAAUAGAAGCCACAAGUUUUGAUUUGUUGGGCAUUGUUCAUUGUGCAGUUGGGCAUUGUGCAUGGUCUGUCAGUCCCUGGGUUAGGGUAUCUGAUGUGUUGAAGGGCCCUGUGCAUGGUCUGUCAGUCCCUGGGUUAGGGUAUCUGAUGUGUUGAAGGGCCCUGUGCAUAGUCUGUAAGUCCCUGGGUCAGGGUGUCUCAAAUGUGUUAAACCAUUUCCACAGAGGGCAGAGUGUCUGCAGAUUUUCACUCUCACCUUGUACUUGAUUGAUUCAUUCGAUUAUUAAUUGGUUAGUUUCUACCCUCACCCGGUUGUUUAGGUCUGAAAUGGGAACCACUUUAAAGGAAAAACCAAAUACCUGCAGACACUUGUCCCUCCAUGGAACCGGUUUGACACCCCUGGGGUAUCUGAUAUACGUAAUCCUCCAGAGGUGGUAUGUCAGACAUGCUCUGAUGGUACAUGACUUGUAUGUAAAGCUCAAGAGUAAUAAAUGAUUUGUACUUUCAGGGGUGUUACAUGUAUUUGAUAUAUGUAUAUGUAUGCUACAAGAAUAAGUGCACUGCUUUUGUUAGGUUCCCUUUCAGAGAAGCGCAGACGUCGCCAGGCCCAAAUACCCACGAAACUCUGAGGCCACUGAGGGAAUCCUUUCACGGAAGUGCAGAUUUGCCAGGACCAAAUACCCACGAAACUCUGAGGCCACUGAGGGAAUCCUUUCACAGAAGUGCAGAUUUGCCAGGACCAAAUACCCACGAAACUCUGAGGCCACUGAGGGAAUCCUUUCACGGAAGUGCAGAUUUGCCAAAUACCCACGAAACUCUGAGGCCCCUGAGGGAAUCCUUUCACGGAAGUGCAGAUUUGCCAGGACCAAAUACCCACGAAACUCUGAGGCCACUGAGGGAAUCCUUUCACGGAAGUGCAGAUUUGCCAGGACCAAAUACCCACGAAACUCUGAGGCCACUGAGGGAAUCCUUUCACGGAAGUGCAGAUUUGCCAAAUACCCACGAAACUCUGAGGCCACUGAGGGAAUCCUUUCACGGAAGUGCAGAUUUGCCAGGACCAAAUACCCACUAAACUCCCGAGGCCACUGAGGGAAUAAUACUGAAGCUUAAAGCAAUGUACUUUGCCUGGUGUUUUCGGUGAGAGUCUUGCUUUGUCUGUUCUCUUUGUCUUGUUUUGUCUGUAUACUGUGUUUGUUUCUUUUUGGUUUUAAUCGUUGAACCUAAAAUGUAUGUGUAAAUAUAUACUGCAGGGCCCAUCUAAUAAAGAGACCUUGAUCUGAGUCUUUGUGCCUUGUUUCAACAUUAAUAAAGGUUUUAUAAUUUUUUUUUAGCUUACGUUGCUGAUAGCUACUUCAUUAUGAUUGCUUUUUUUUCUAGCACUACAUUGCUGUGUGCUACUUUGCUGAUUAAAAGUGUAGUUGCUGCUACUAGGUAAUGUGGUUGUUUCCACCUGGCUUUCCCAAG